UUAGUCGUUACCAGCGAAGUCGUUGUAU
rnacentral:sRNA from 1 species